CCCAACUACUUCUAUCCAAGGCUCAAAAAAUUGAUGGUCAGAAACCUUAAUAUCGAUGUCAAGAUUUUCACCUCUCAUGAACCUUGGUGUUAAAAUUUCAAGUAAAUAGAUAUCUACUAUUCAUCACAAUAUUCACAUUUGACAAGAUGAGCUAUAAAACUUGCUAGGUGGAUGAGGGACAUGAUUCCUUGCCAACUCAUUGCUCCACUUGAUAUUUAACUAUUGGCUAGCAUGCUUUUGGAUGCCCAAUUCAAUUCUAUCAAUUAGCUAGCUUGUCGAUAAAUUUUUGCAUAAGAAAAUGAUGCUAGAAGGGGCAUGGAUAAUGUUAAUUGGGAUAUUUUGAGGCCGCCUAUGAAUUAUAGUGGUAUCAUUGCCAAGAUGACUAUGAUCACUAGGAAUAUGAUGAAAUUUUUUCAAGCAAUUUGAACACAUAGAGGUCUGCCCUGCUCAACAACAUCUCAUGGGCUAAGGGAGCCCCUGGAGAGAAUGAGGCUGGUGAUGGGUUGGUUGUUACUUCACCAUGGGC
rnacentral:lncRNA from 1 species